rnacentral:rRNA from 1 species
GACGAACCGUGCAAACGUUAUUCGGAAUCACUGGGCAUAAAGGGCGCGUAGGCGGCUUGACAAGUCAGGGGUGAAAUCCGGCAGCUUAACUGUCGCAGUGCCUUUGAUACUGUCGAGCUCGAGGGAGGUAGGGGUCUGUGGAACUUCCGGUAGAGCGGUGAAAUGCGUUGAUAUCGGAAGGAACGCCGGUGGCGAAAGCGACGGACUGGAUCUCUUCUGACGCUGAGGCGCGAAAGCCAGGGAGCAAAGCGGG